rnacentral:rRNA from 1 species
CACGUAGGGCGCAAGCGUUGUCCGGAAUUAUUGGGCGUAAAGAGCUCGUAGGUGGUUUGCUGCGUCCGCUGUGAAAACCCAAGGCUUAACCUUGGGCUUGCAGUGGAUACGGGCAGACUAGAGGUAGGUAGGGGAGAAUGGAAUUCCCGGUGUAGCGGUGAAAUGCGCAGAUAUCAGGAGGAACACCGAUGGCGAAGGCAGGUCUCUGGGCCACUACUGACGCUGAGAAGCGAAAGCAUGGGGAGCGAACAGG